rnacentral:rRNA from 1 species
UUUAUCGGAGAGUUUGAUCCUGGCUCAGGACGAACGCUGGCGGCGUGCCUAAUACAUGCAAGUCGAGCGGACAGAUGGGAGCUUGCUCCCUGAUGUUAGCGGCGGACGGGUGAGUAACACGUGGGUAACCUGCCUGUAAGACUGGGAUAACUCCGGGAAACCGGGGCUAAUACCGGAUGCUUGUUUGAACCGCAUGGUUCAGACAUAAAAGGUGGCUUCGGCUACCACUUACAGAUGGACCCGCGGCGCAUUAGCUAGUUGGUGAGGUAACGGCUCACCAAGGCGACGAUGCGUAGCCGACCUGAGAGGGUGAUCGGCCACACUGGGACUGAGACACGGCCCAGACUCCUACGGGAGGCAGCAGUAGGG